AAACUCAAAGGAAUUGACGGGGACCCGCACAAGCGGUGGAUUAUGUGGAUUAUUCGAUGCAACGCGAAAAACCUUACCUACCCUUGACAUGCUAGGAAGUCCGCAGAGAUGUGGAUGUGCCCGAAAGGGAGCCUAGACACAGGUGCUGCAUGGCUGUCGUCAGCUCGUGUCGUGAGAUGUUGGGUUAAGUCCCGCAACGAGCGCAACCCUUGCCAUUAGUUGCUACAUUCAGUUGAGCACUCUAAUGGGACCGCCGGUGACAAACCGGAGGAAGGUGGGGAUGACGUCAAGUCCUCAUGGCCCUUAUGGGUAGGGCUUCACACGUAAUACAAUGGUCGGUACAGAGGGUUGCCAACCCGCGAGGGGGAGCUAAUCCCAGAAAGCCGAUCGUAGUCCGGAUUGUAGUCUGCAACUCGACUGCAUGAAGCCGGAAUCGCUAGUAAUCGCGGAUCAGCAUGUCGCGGUGAAUACGUUCCCGGGUCUUGUACACACCGCCCGUCACACCAUGGGAGUGGGUUCCACCAGAAGUAGUUAGCCUAACCGCAAGGGGGGCGAUUACCACGGUGAGAUUCAUGACUGGGGUGAAGUCGUAACAAGGUAACC
rnacentral:rRNA from 1 species